rnacentral:misc_RNA from 1 species
UCGAGAUAAUGUUGGGUAAACCGACAUCUCCACACCUUGUCGUUAUUCUACUCUGUAGAUUCAUACUUCGGCUUGCCGCUUAACAGCCGUCCCAUGGACGUUGAGCUCGCCGGUAGACCUUACUCUCAGUACUGUCAGUUUUGUACAUCUCAAAAAAGCAAA